rnacentral:rRNA from 1 species
AUUGAACGCUGGCGGCAUGCUUUACACAUGCAAGUCGAACGGCAGCGCGGGCUUCGGCCUGGCGGCGAGUGGCGAACGGGUGAGUAAUACAUCGGAACGUGCCCAGUAGUGGGGGAUAGCUCGGCGAAAGCCGGAUUAAUACCGCAUACGACCUGAGGGUGAAAGAGGGGGAUCUUCGGACCUCGCGCUAUUGGAGCGGCCGAUGGCAGAUUAGCUAGUUGGUGGGGGAAAGGCCUACCAAGGCGACGAUCUGUAGCUGGUCUGAGAGGACGACCAGCCACACUGGGACUGAGACACGGCCCAGACUCCUACGGGAGGCAGCAGUGGGGAAUUUUGGACAAUGGGCGAAAGCCUGAUCCAGCAAUGCCGCGUGUGUGAUGAAGGCCUUCUGGUUGUAAAGCACUUUUGGCGGGAACGAAAAGGACUGUGCCAAUACCACGGUUCGAUGACGGUACCCGCAGAAUAAGCACCGGCUAACUACGUG